UCGAGAAGUCAUCUCUUACUGACCUUCAUUGAACCCUCCGAAAUCUUGCAAGUGCAGUUUGUCUUUUAGCACAUAGCAAUGCUAAAAUAUCGAAGAAUCAAGUUUCUAAAUAGUAUGUCAUGAAGGAGACAACCUGCUCAAUGAAGUGGAGCUCUGGAGAUCUGCAACUAGAGUCUAUUGAAAGAUUCAGGAAAACAGAAAAAGGUAGUUUCAACAAUAGAGAUCAGGAGAAUGUCCUGUGGUGUAGGGAAAAUCACCUAAACAUGAACAAAGGAGUUUGGUGGUAGACUUCAAGUCACCAUCUUGGGAAAGUCUGUGGAUCAAGUGAGCAACCAAGACCUCCUGUGAAAGAAGGCCAGAGCAGGCUUUACUUUUUAAGCAGGCUUAGGCCUUUUAUUGUGUGUGAGAGUUCUACCAGUCUGUGCAGGGUAGUGUGUGGCUCUACUGUAUACAUGGUCUGCUAGGAGAGUUAAAACAGCUUCAGGGGAUGUUAAACACCUGAAUAAACUGAUUAGAAAAGCCAGC